rnacentral:rRNA from 1 species
AGUGUACCAGUUGUCGCGCCAGCGGCAGCGCUGGGUAGCUAUGAACGGAUGUGAUAAGCGCUGAAAGCAUCUAAGUGCGAAGCACACUUCAAGAUGAGGUAUCCCUUUCUCCAACGCAAGGCGGAGAACUGAAGACUCCUCGGAGAUUACGAGGUUGAUAGGCUGCAGGUGUAAGUCCGGCAACGGAUUGAGCCGAGCAGUACUAAUAAGUCGUGAGACUUAGCCAU